rnacentral:rRNA from 1 species
GUUUGUCUCUGAGACUGAAUACACCCAAUCUCAUCUGAUCUUGCAAAGCUAAGCAGGCUUGGGCCUGGUUAGUAUUUGGAUGGGAGACUACGUGGAAUACCAGGUGCUGUAAGCU